GACGAACGCUGGCGGCGUGCCUAAUACAUGCAAGUAGAACGCACAGUUUAUACCGUAGCUUGCUACACCAUAGACUGCGAGUUGCGAACGGGUGAGUAACGCGUAGGUAACCUGCCUGGUAGCGGGGGAUAACUAUUGGAAACGAUAGCUAAUACCGCAUAAUAUUAAUUAUUGCAUGAUAAUUAAUUGAAAGGUGCAAUUGCACCACUACCAGAUGGACCUGCGUUGUAUUAGCUAGUAGGUGAGGUAACGGCUCACCUAGGCGACGAUACAUAGCCGACCGGAGAGGGUGAGCGGCCACACUGGGACUGAGACACGGCCCAGACUCCUACGGGAGGCAGCAGUAGGGAAUCUUCGGCAAUGGACGAAAGUCUGACCGAGCAACGCCGCGUGAGUGAAGAAGGGUGUCGGAUCGUAAAGCUCUGUUGUAAGAGAAGAACGGGGGUGAGAGUGGAAAGUUCACACUGUGACGGUAUCUUAACAGAAAGGGACGGCUAACUACGUG
rnacentral:rRNA from 1 species